AUAAAAGCCAGCUCUGGAAUACACUCAUUUGAGAGUCUUGUAAAGCUGUUGUCCGUGUGUUAUUGCUUACAAAUGAUUCUCCAUCAACGUUGAUUAUGGUGACCGAGGGAUCGAGAACCGAGGGGAUUAGAGUCCAUUACAACAUUAACCCUUUCAGCUUGGUGUCUAGAAGUGGGAUAGAAGUUGGAUCAGCAAAACCAUUUGCGGUGAGUAGCCUUUUUGUGUCUUAUUUGACGCUGAUUGUCUAUGACCCCCCUUUGGUUCAGUAAGACUGUAUCCAGUAGAUAGGAAAGGUGUAAGGACUCUAGUUAUAUUGAGACUAUAAGAGGUCUCCGGUUUAUUAGACAUUUGGUCUAAAUAUAUAUAGGGGUUCUUGGUAACCCAGGUUAGUAUCUAAGAUAGAUACAGGUUUUUGAGACCAUAAGAGGUCUCCGGUUUAUUAUAGGGUUUUGGUAACCCAGGUUAGUAUCUAAGAUAGAUACAGGGUAUCUCAGGUAGAUACAGGUUUUUGAGACCAUAAGAGUCUCCGGUUUAUUAAGUCUAUAGGUGUUCUGAGUAGCACGGUUUGUAGAUCUAUAAGUAUAACCCAAACUUCUCUUUCUCCCGGUCACCUUUGUUUGUCUUAAGUGUUUUUUUGUGGGUGAUUGUUUGUCUAUAUUGGGGACACACUUUGGUAAGUUAGUAGUGUCCCCACUCUGAGUCAGCAGUAUGGGAAAUGUGAGUUC